UGGGAUUUCAGGAAGAGGUCUGAGAGACAUGUGUGUGCACACUAGCCUAAGAAGGUGGAGAGUGGUGUGUGGAGGAGAUAGGAAGGGCACAUCCACCAGGAUGAGAACCAUUUUGGAGUCUGUAGCUUUAUAUACUUUGGAAGCUCAGGUCUAAAAAUAACUCUCAUUUGGAAUGGUUGUUGUUUGUCUGUAUCCUGGGUUUUCCCAUUCUUAAAAAUACCCUGACAUGCACAUGAAGACUGUGUUCCAAAGGCUAAUGCUCUUUAAUCCUGAAGGGAGUGAAUGUCUGGCAACCAGACUCUCUGAAUCAGCGUUGUUUCUGCACGGCUGCUCCCACUGCGCUGGAGUCCAGGCGAAGAGCAAAAUAAAAAGAAUUGAAACUAACUCAACAGGACUGGUGAAGGUUUCAGAGAGAUCCCAACUUCCUCUCUGAAUUGACUGCCCUCCUCCAUGCUCCUCCAUGUGAAGGUUGAAGGAUUUGAGCGUUAUUUCUUCACAGUACCUGUUUGAAUGGUGAAUUAAAACAAACAAAAAUUUAAAACAGUGUACAUCUGAACAAGCUGGAAAGGUCAACUAGGGCUUKCAGUGUCUUUGCUUUUUGGGUUUUUUUUUUUUUCAUUUUGUUUUGUUUUGAAAGGAUGUAUUUCUGCAUGACUCACUGAGUUUCUCACUUCCGGCUAGAAUUAUUACAAAAUCAAUCUGGGAGACAAUGAGCCUGCAAAAGACUUCUCUUCAUGGACUAUGGAUGGACCCACUGUACCUUCAGGCACCCCUUUGCUAGUGGGCCAUUUCUUAGUCCCCUCCAGGAUCACCAGCAAAGUAAAAACCUGUCCAUAUCUAACAAUUUCUUCCUCCACUGAGCCUCGGUGCAUUUUGGGAGAAUCAGUGGCUACUGGGACUUUUCUCUUAUGCAACCUUACUGGGAGAAAAUAAUCACUCUGGAAAGGAAUUAUAUAAUGGUUGGUGAUCACAUUGCUUAUGGUGAUUGUUAUUUUGAAAUGUUCUUUUUUAUAAUGUAUUUCAGGCAUUCAGUUUAGAUUUCAAGUUUUCAAGAAAAAAUCAUAUAUAUUAAGAGAAAAAUAUCCCUGCCCUCAAGAACCUAUUGUUCUGGUAGCAUUUCUAUAGUCAUCUUUGUUCCUAUAGGACAAAUUUAGAUGUCUUCUCAAACAUCUAAGAAGGCAUGUCAGAUAUUAUUUAACUGCCUCCUGAGAGAAUUAGUUGUUUGUGGCCAUUCCCUCUUUAUAUUUG
rnacentral:lncRNA from 1 species